CUCGGCGGUGGAAGGCGCCGCGGCCGCUUCACCGCUCUGACUCUGGACUGGAGCGCGGAGGCAUCCUCGCAGCCGCUGCUUCUCCUGCUGUAGCUAGUCAGGUGGCAUUCAGCAUCACCGUUUUCUUCAGGCAUCAUGUCAUCAUCACAACCAUCACAAACAACAUCAUCUUCUCCUCCAUUCAGAACUCUAGCUCCCUGAAGGCCGUCUCUGUUCCUUUGUAUGAAGGCAGUCACUUUGGACAAAUUUCUAAGCCUGGCGCAUAUUUGGAAAGCUUUGCAAAAAGAAAUUAAACUAACAGAUCUGCAGAAAGUGGAAUGAAUUUAUAGAAUUGGCAGCAGUCCUGGCCUUGUUUGACAGUGUCCUCAUCUCCACGUAUCUGCUUCUUCCGUAGCAUCCUCUACUGCUUACCCAUAGCCGACUGGCAGGGCUUUUGAGUUCUGGUUUUGCUACCCAUUCAAGUCCCAGGUA